CAAGCAUAGACCGGCAAGAUAUUCAGCUGUCUGGAAGUCUGGAGAUUUUGUCCAGCAAGAAGCCCCCUAACAAAAGGCAGAAUGCCAAACUGAGUGCUGACCUCUGACAUGGUUGAGCAGUUAAAGUAUGAUGUCUAUCAACUGCAGACUGCUCUCAGAAACUUCCAGCACCAGUGCUAUGCAAGGGAGCAGCAGGAGAGACAGCGAGAAGAGCUUCUGUCUCGAACCUUCACUGCUAACAUAA
rnacentral:lncRNA from 1 species